rnacentral:rRNA from 1 species
UCUUGGUCAUUUAGAGGAAGUAAAAGUCGUAACAAGGUUUCCGUAGGUGAACCUGCGGAAGGAUCAUUACCUAGAGUUUGUAGACUUCGGUCUGCUACCUCUUACCCAUGUCUUUUGAGUACCUUCGUUUCCUCGGCGGGUCCGCCCGCCGAUUGGACAACAUUCAAACCCUUUGCAGUUGCAAUCAGCGUCUGAAAAAACAUAAUAGUUACAACUUUCAACAACGGAUCUCUUGGUUCUGGCAUCGAUGAAGAACGCAGCGAAAUGCGAUAAGUAGUGUGAAUUGCAGAAUUCAGUGAAUCAUCGAAUCUUUGAACGCACAUUGCGCCCCUUGGUAUUCCAUGGGGCAUGCCUGUUCGAGCGUCAUUUGUACCUUCAAGCUCUGCUUGGUGUUGGGUGUUUGUCUCGCCUCUGCGUGUAGACUCGCCUUAAAACAAUUGGCAGCCGGCGUAUUGAUUUCGGAGCGCAGUACAUCUCGCGCUUUGCACUCACAACGACGACGUCCAAAAGUACAUUUUUACACUCUUGACCUCGGAUCAGGUAGGGAUACCCGCUGAACUUAAGCAUAUCAAUAAGCGGAGGAA